rnacentral:rRNA from 1 species
GUUUAAGCAACUAUACGGUGAAACUGCGAAUGGCUCAUUAAAUCAGUUAUCGNUUAUUUGAUAGUACCUUACUACUUGGAUAACCGUGGUAAUUCUAGAGCUAAUACAUGCUGAAAACCUCGACUUCGGAAGGGGUGUAUUUAUUAGAUAAAAAACCAAUGCCCUUCGGGGCUUUUUGGUGAUUCAUAAUAACUUAACGAAUCGCAUGGCCUUGCGCCGGCGAUGGUUCAUUCAAAUUUCUGCCCUAUCAACUUUCGUUACGGGUACGGGGAAUUAGGGUUCUAUCCGGAGAGGGAGCCUGAGAAACGGCUACCACAUCCAAGGAAGGCAGCAGGCGCGCAAAUUAUCCAAUCCCGACACGGGGAGAUAGUGACAAUAAAUACUGAUCUGGGGCAUUUUUAUGUCUCAGAAUUGGAAUGAGUACAAUUUAAAUCCCUUAACGAGGAACAAUUGGAGGGCAAGUUUGGUGCCAGCAGCCGCGGUAAUUCCAGCUCCAAUAGCGUAUAUUAAAGGUCGGUCGGUCCGCCUCACCGCGUGCACUGAUUCGACCGGAUCUUUCCUUCUGGGGAAGCGCAUGCCCUUUAUUGGGCGUGUCGGGGAACCAGGACUUUUACUUUGAAAAAAUUAGAGUGUUCAAAGCAGGCCUAUGCUCGAAUACAUUAGCAUGGAAUAAUAGAAUAGGACGUGUGGUUCUAUUUUGUUGGUUUCUAGGACCGCCGUAAUGAUUAAUAGGGAUAGUCGGGGGCAUCAGUAUUCCGUUGUCAGAGGUGAAAUUCUUGGAUUUACGGAAGACUAACUACUGCGAAAGCAUUUGCCAAGGAUGUUUUCAUUAAUCAGUGAACGAAAGUUAGGGGAUCGAAGACGAUCAGAUACCGUCGUAGUCUUAACCAUAAACUAUGCCGACUAGGGAUCGGACGGUGUUAUUAUUUUGACCCGUUCGGCACCUUACGAGAAAUCAAAGUUUUUGGG